AGAGUUUGAUCAUGGCUCAGAUUGAACGCUGGCGGCAGGCUUAACACAUGCAAGUCGAGCGGAGAUGAGGUGCUUGCACCUUAUCUUAGCGGCGGACGGGUGAGUAAUGCUUAGGAAUCUGCCUAUUAGUGGGGGACAACAUUCCGAAAGGAAUGCUAAUACCGCAUACGUCCUACGGGAGAAAGCAGGGGAUCUUCGGACCUUGCGCUAAUAGAUGAGCCUAAGUCGGAUUAGCUAGUUGGUGGGGUAAAGGCCUACCAAGGCGACGAUCUGUAGCGGGUCUGAGAGGAUGAUCCGCCACACUGGGACUGAGACACGGCCCAGACUCCUACGGGAGGCAGCAGUGGGGAAUAUUGGACAAUGGGGGGAACCCUGAUCCAGCCAUGCCGCGUGUGUGAAGAAGGCCUUAUGGUUGUAAAGCACUUUAAGCGAGGAGGAGGCUACUGAGACUAAUACUCUUGGAUAGUGGACGUUACUCGCAGAAUAAGCACCGGCUAACUCUGUGCCAGCAGCCGCGGUAAUACAGAGGGUGCGAGCGUUAAUCGGAUUUACUGGGCGUAAAGCGUGCGUAGGCGGCUUUUUAAGUCGGGUGUGAAAUCCCCGAGCUUAACUUGGGAAUUGCAUUCGAUACUGGGAAGCUAGAGUAUGGGAGAGGAUGGUAGAAUUCCAGGUGUAGCGGUGAAAUGCGUAGAGAUCUGGAGGAAUACCGAUGGCGAAGGCAGCCAUCUGGCCUAAUACUGACGCUGAGGUACGAAAGCAUGGGGAGCAAACAGGAUUAGAUACCCCGGUAGUCCAA
rnacentral:rRNA from 1 species